rnacentral:rRNA from 1 species
AGAGUUUGAUCCUGGCUCAGAUUGAACGCUGGCGGCGUGCCUAACACAUGCAAGUCGAGCGGUAACGCGGGAGCAAUCCUGGCGACGAGCGGCGAACGGGUGAGUAAUGCUUGGGAAUCUACCCAUGAGUGGGGAAUAACCAACCGAAAGGUUGGCUAAUACCGCAUACGUCCUACGGGAGAAAGCGGGGGAUCGUAAGA